rnacentral:rRNA from 1 species
GACGAACGCUGGCGGCGUGCCUAAUACAUGCGAGUUGAGCGAUGAAGAUUGGUGCUUGCCCCAAUUUGAAGAGCAGCGAACGGGUGAGUAACGCGUGGGGAAUCUGCCUUUGAGCGGGGGACAACAUUUGGAAACGAAUGCUAAUACCGCAUAACAACUUUAAACAUAAGUUUUAAGUUUGAAAGAUGCAAUUGCAUCACUCAAAGAUGAUCCCGCGUUGUAUUAGCUAGUUGGUGAGGUAAAGGCUCACCAAGGCGAUGAUACAUAGCCGACCUGAGAGGGUGAUCGGCCACAUUGGGACUGAGACACGGCCCAAACUCCUACGGGAGGCAGCAGUAGGGAAUCUUCGGCAAUGGACGAAAGUCUGACCGAGCAACGCCGCGUGAGUGAAGAAGGUUUUCGGAUCGUAAAACUCUGUUGGUAGAGAAGAACGUUGGUGAGAGUGGAAAGCUCAUCAAGUGACGGUAACUACCCAGAAAGGGACGGCUAACUACGUG